AGAGAGUUGCUCGAGCGGUUGAAGAGGCACGCCUGGAAAGUGUGUAAGGUGUCAAAGCCUUCGAGGGUUCGAAUCCCUCACUCUCUG
rnacentral:tRNA from 1 species